rnacentral:rRNA from 1 species
CAGUCGCCACGGGAAUACGAAGGGGGCUAGCGUUGUUCGGAUUUACUGGGCGUAAAGCGCACGUAGGCGGACUUUUAAGUCAGGGGUGAAAUCCCGGGGCUCAACCCCGGAACUGCCUUUGAUACUGGAAGUCUUGAGUAUGGUAGAGGUGAGUGGAAUUCCGAGUGUAGAGGUGAAAUUCGUAGAUAUUCGGAGGAACACCAGUGGCGAAGGCGGCUCACUGGACCAUUACUGACGCUGAGGUGCGAAAGCGUGGGGAGCAAACAGGAUUAGAUACCCCUGUAGUCCCUGUCUCUUAUAC